rnacentral:lncRNA from 1 species
GGCUAAAUCGGAGGUUGACGAAUGUUGAGACUAUCAAGAAAAUCGUGAAAGAGUUGCAACGGAAGACCUUUGGUGAAGAUGCCACCAAUCUGAUAACGUGAUGAAACAUGUAAUACUCUUACUUGGCUGUAAGCAACUUUUUCCCGCAAAAAAUGUAUAUUCAUCUCGAUGUGUUCGGUGUGUUGAUGUUGAACUGGGUUGCCGGAAGGGUACAUUGCACUCACGUUAUCACAAUAAACAAGAGUAGCUGUCAUAACUGGAAAAUGUAGCCGUCAUAACUUUAAUCAUCAUAGAUUAGAUCUAUAUUUCUUCCUGGUUGGGUUUUGACAUUAGCCCCAUCCUUAAAAAAAAGUGAAGUCUAAUUAUCAUUGAAAACAAGAAGACAAGAUGACAUAUGUUUUCCUUCAUACUCAAUUGCAAUGCUCAAAUUCAAAACAUGUAACCUAAACAUGUUAUUCAAUUUUGACAGUUUUUUUUUUUUUUUAAUCUUGAAUGUAUACUAAGCUCUCUUGUUUAGGUUAACAAUAAAAAUAAUUUUGAAAAAGAAGCAUAUUUGUUUGUACAAGAUAGAGUAGGUAAACUUGUCCCCACAAGAAAAACAAAAUAGAGUAGGUGAAGAAAAGGUUUUGGUAUAUGGAGUCAUGGAGAGAAGAUUUGGAAUAGUCUUGUUGCAGAAGGUUAAUAGUUGAGAGGUGCAAGCGGUUUAACUCAAGCCGUAUUGUCAUUCGUGAGGAUUCACGAGGAAUAUUCUCGCGACAUAUAGUAUUACUGUAUAUAAAAAAUGAAACUGGAGGGAGUAUUAAACUUUAAACAAGGGAGAAUAUGGAAGAAGUAACUAUAAAA